rnacentral:lncRNA from 1 species
AUUCUGCGUCCCCCCCGGCCGGGGAGAAUGCGGGGAGACCGCGUUUAGAGGAUCAGUGGCGGCGGGCCCGCGCGGUGCCGGCGACUAGCAGCGAGAUGUCCUGGCCCCUUCCAGGUUUGGGAGAAUGGAGAGAGCAAGGUGUAGCUGAUUAGCAAGUUAAUUAUUUCAGUACCCCAAGGGUUCAUGCGUGGUGGAGAUGGCCUUGGGAGAGCAACCUCCGGACCUCAGCAGUGUGAGGAUGACAACAGUACCCUGUGGUGCUGUCCCCACUCAGGGUUUCUCUCUGUAGCCCCGACUGUCCUGGAACUCACUCUGCAGACCAGGCUGUCCUCAAGCUCAGAGAUCUACCUGCCUCUGCCUCUGAAGUACUGGGAUUAAAGAUGCAGAGGCCUCCCAGAGAAGUGUGAAGGAAUGGGCCUUAACCAGGGUUGAAGAAAGAAAGUGAAGAAGGGGAGAGCCCAAGGAAAGGUGGGGACAGUUGGAACUUUUGUUUACACUGGUCUACUACUCAUGUAUCGUAUGCUAUAAUCUCCAAAUUCCACAUUUAUUGUAGCUGUCUGCAGUGUGUAUGCCCCGGCCGCAUGCUGCUUGGCUAAAAAAGUGUUAAAUAAAACUGUAAGAAACGCUA